GAUGAACGCUGGCGGCGUGCCUAAUACAUGCAAGUCGAGCGAACAGACGAGGAGCUUGCUCCUUCGACGUUAGCGGCGGACGGGUGAGUAACACGUAGGUAACCUACCUAUAAGACUGGCAUAACUUCGGGAAACCGGAGCUAAUACCGGAUAAUAUUUCGAACCGCAUGGUUCGAUAGUGAAAGAUGGCUUUGCUAUCACUUAUAGAUGGACCUGCGCCGUAUUAGCUAGUUGGUAAGGUAACGGCUUACCAAGGCAACGAUACGUAGCCGACCUGAGAGGGUGAUCGGCCACACUGGAACUGAGACACGGUCCAGACUCCUACGGGAGGCAGCAGUAGGGAAUCUUCCGCAAUGGGCGAAAGCCUGACGGAGCAACGCCGCGUGAGUGAUGAAGGUCUUCGGAUCGUAAAACUCUGUUAUUAGGGAAGAACAAACGUGUAAGUAACUGUGCACGUCUUGACGGUACCUAAUCAGAAAGCCACGGCUAACUACGUG
rnacentral:rRNA from 1 species